UAGUCGGAUAAAGGACAGCACUGUUUUGUGGACUGUAAGUGUUUCACAGUUGAAGACUGCGUCUUGAUCGGUCCUUGAGAAGCUCUGCUGCUGCUGGAGUGAAGCAGUAACUUUAUGCUAGCUGCAGACACACUCGUGACUGCUCCAUAUCAGCUGCUGUAUAUAUUCAGGAUGUGAAGUACUGUUUUGAGAAGAUUUGAUUUUGAGUUUACUCUGCCAUCCAAACGACAUCUCAGCUGAUUCAUCUCAAAAGUGAUUCGUUUAUGAUUCACUCCUAUGUGAUUCAUUUGAUUGAUUCAUCGUGAUACUGCAACUGAAAGAGGCAAUUAAAUGACAUCCCUCGAGUUAAUUUCAACGCACGCUACGUCAGCACAAUGUAUUUCCACUCAUCAUUCCACAAACUGGUGUUUCCUAUUUAUUCUUCUGAGAUAUCGUGGUUUGAUGGACGGGACAGUUGAGUUAUAGAACGUAAAGUGAAGUGUGGUUGAACAUGUCACCAGUGUUUUGAGUGUGAAAUUGUGAAUUAUCAUAGAAAACUGGUAUUUUCUCACUGUUUUUCACUGUUUUGAAUGUGAUUGUGUUCAAAAAGGUUAAUUUAAGUGUUGAAAUUUAAUUCUAAAUGAAGAUUUAAGUGAGUUUAGAAUUUGAAGGAGAAUAAGAGUUUUCUUUGAAGGUUUCUUUACUAAUGUAUUUGACUCUAUACUGAAUAUAUUGAAAGUGAUUGUGUUUGAGUGACAGCACAAAUUAUUUGUUUACGUAACUUUUUUUUUUAAAUUUAUUUUUCUUUGUUGUUUUCAGUCUUUUGAGUAAUUGAGACUAAUUCUUGUUUAAGAAAUUAUAUAUAUAUAUAGAAAAUAAACAAGGUUUAUAUCUCUUUAUACUUACCUGAAGUGUGAAGUCUGUCAGGGAGUAAGGGUGUCUCCUUAAUAGACUUGGGGAGGGAGGAGUAUGUGAACUUUUUUUUUUAUAUAAUUCUCACAUAUAUUUUUACUUCAGAAGGCUUUCUCGUGACGGUAAACUAACUGAAGCCUACCCUCGUCAGUCUGUAGGUCCAGUCACCCAUAAGAUUGUUUUUUUAGAAAGGGAUAGAUCAUCUGAAUCUGACCCAAGCGGUCAGUGGCGAGCCAACCUGCAGAAGUGAACGGAUCAAGAGCCCGGUGUGGCCAGCCGUGGCAUCUUUGGACCAGCAUCAUCCUGUGCCUUCAUUUGUGAUACAGAUAAGAACAUACGUAAACCUACCCGGGUAGUGAAAAGAACAUACUCUACGAAACACACACACAUAAACAACUUCUAUAGACUCUUUCUUUAUUUUAGUUUUUUAUUUUGAGUUUAUUGUGCACUCAGGAAUCUUUCUUAGGUAGGCAGGGAAUGUAAAUGACUGCCAAUUUAUUUUGUAUAAUACAUUUUUUCAAAUUCA